ACGCACGCUGGCGGCGUGCUUCACACAUGCAAGUCGAACGGAAAGGCCCUGCUUUUGUGGGGUGCUCGAGUGGCGAACGGGUGAGUAACACGUGAGUAACCUGCCCUUGACUUUGGGAUAACUUCAGGAAACUGGGGCUAAUACCGGAUAGGAGCUCCUGCUGCAUGGUGGGGGUUGGAAAGUUUCGGCGGUUGGGGAUGGACUCGCGGCUUAUCAGCUUGUUGGUGGGGUAGUGGCUUACCAAGGCUUUGACGGGUAGCCGGCCUGAGAGGGUGACCGGCCACAUUGGGACUGAGAUACGGCCCAGUCUCCUACGGGAGGCAGCAGUGGGGAAUAUUGCACAAUGGGCGGAAGCCUGAUGCAGCAACGCCGCGUGCGGGAUGACGGCCUUCGGGUUGUAAACCGCUUUCGCCUGUGACGAAGCGUGAGUGACGGUAAUGGGUAAAGAAGCACCGGCUAACUACGUG
rnacentral:rRNA from 1 species